CUUCUUCAAAUUGUUCGAUAAUAAAUGGCACUUUUUUAGAAAAAAUCCUUUGAAACGACGUCGUUUCAUCGAAGAGCGCGCAGCACAAGCACACGAUUAAGAAAAGGGUCAUAACUCAUAAGCGAGGAACUUUCGAGAAAGAGCGAAAACGAAAAUGUUGCGAUCACUGACUCUUAAACCCUCUUCUUUACUUUUCAAAUUCAAUUUCAAUUUCAACACGAAUUCUCUUCGGAGUAGAGUUGUCACCACGCAAGCAUUCUCCUCCGCCGUGUCACCGCCGUCGAAGGCGAUCGUAUACGAGACGCACGGCCAACCAGACGCGGUGACGAAACUGGUAACCGUUCCGGGUAAGGAAUUGAAAGAGAAUGAUGUGUGCGUCAAGAUGCUGGCUGCUCCGAUAAACCCUUCCGAUAUCAACAGGAUACAAGGUGUGUAUCCCGUGCGGCCAGAACCACCUGCAAUUGGUGGUUAUGAAGGCGUCGGAGAGGUUUACUCCGUUGGCUCCGCCGUAACGUCUUUCUCUCCCGGCGAUUGGGUUAUUCCAUCUCCACCUUCUUCCGGGACAUGGCAGACAUAUAUUGUGAAGGAUCAGAAUGUGUGGCACAAGGUUAACAAGAGUGUGCCUAUGGAGUAUGCUGCUACAAUUACUGUUAAUCCUCUCUCUGCUCUUCUCAUGCUUGAAGAUUGCAUUACUUUGAACUCAGGAGAUGCUAUUGUGCAAAACGGGGCGACCAGCAUGGUUGGCCAGUGUGUCAUUCAGCUGGCGAAAUCUCGUGGCAUUCACAGCAUUAAUAUUAUACGGGACAGGCAUGGGGUUGAUGAAGUUAAAGAAAGACUUAAGCAUUUGGGUGCUGAUCAAGUUUUCACGGAGAAUGAAUUGGAAGUGAAGAAUGUCAAGAGUCUUCUGGAUGGUAUACCUGAACCUGCACUGGGAUUUAACUGCGUUGGUGGCAAUUCUGCUUCUCUGGUUCUCAAAUUUUUAAGACGGGGAGGAACUAUGGUGACAUAUGGUGGAAUGUCUAAAAAACCUGUCACUGUAUCAACUUCAUCCUUCAUAUUUAAGCAACAUGCGUACAUUAGGACCAGACGAGAGGCCUACUAGCCACCACCGGAGCCACCCCAGGAGCCACCACAGCCAGCUGGAUAUCCUAGAGGACCUUCAGAUCUAUCAUUAUUUCUUCGAUACUAGGACCAUGUUGCUCGCCGUUUAUGGUACGGACAGGAAAGAGGUCCUAAAAAGGAGCUUAAAGUUGCAGGACAUGGGACGAAGCUUCAGGAAAGAGUGCCUCAGAUGCUCCCACCAGAGAUUGAGGUUAUCGUGAGUGGGUCAGGUCUGUCUUCUCUUCAGAGAACUAGCCUGACCAAGAUAGACGUUAACCUUGUCUCAGCAUUUGUGGAGAGGUGGCAUAUUGAGACAUCGUCAUUUCACAUGCCAUUUGGUGAGAUGACGAUUACAUUAGAUGAUGUUGCCAGUCUGCUGCAUUUGCCUGUCGGGGGUAUGUUCUGGUAUCCUGAGGAGCAUGUCACAGAGGAGAUGAUUGAUCUUGGCAGCCAGUACUUGGGAGUGGAUAGGGAUGUCAUGGCUCAUCAUGUGCGUUCAUGCAGGUGAGCUUAUUAUUCACUGCAGUGGUUGCAUGAUAGAUUCGUGGAGUACCGUGCUGCUGGUAGCUGGGCUUUUGCGACCAGGGCAUAUCUGAUGAUGUUGGUAGGUUCUACUAUUUUUGCAGACAAGACAUUUACUCUGGUCGAGGCCCGGUAUUUGCUACUGUUUAGAGACCUACGUGUGCUUAGUUCCUACAGUUGGGCAUCUGUUGUACUGGUCACUCUUUAUCGGCACCUUGGGGAUGCAUCUAUGUUUAGUUGCAAGCAGCUUGGUGGAUAUUCUACUCUGCUAUAGUGUUGGAUACAUGAGUACUUUCCUACACUGGGAAGAAAAGGAGAAAACUGGCGCCCAUCUGACAAUCAAGGGCUUUCGCGGGCGAUGAGAUGGUCCUACAGGCAAGGAGCCAUGAAGGUGGAUGAGUUUAGACCGGUAUUGGACCAGCUGACACCUACAGACGUCAUAUGGCGCCCAUUCGAGGAUCAUAGACGUCAUCGUGCUUUUAACGAGCUAUCUCUGUACAGAGGUUUUCUUGUUUGGAGUGACUUACAUGUGCCAUGCUUACCCGACAGGUGUCUUCGUCAGUUUGGUUAUCGCCAGUAUAUUCUGCCUGCACCUCCUGCUGAUACGCUCAGCAAUGAUGACAUUGCUGUGGAGUGGAUUGCCUAUUACCAGAGCGUGUCAGAUGUGGUUAGAGAUACCGAGUCCGUCAGAUACCCUCAUGAGACGGUUGAUGGAUAUUUACAAUGGUAUUACCGCGUGUCGCAUCCUCAGGUGGUGGCGCCCCCACCUCGUGCGCGUAGAGAGGUUACAGUUCCUGUCUUUGAUGCAGGACCAGCUGAUUCGGAUUGGGCUCAUGCCUCCACAUUGGUUCACCGUUAUCUCCGGCAGGUAGAGGCAGAGGAGGAGGAUGUAGCGUAUGCUGAUUUAUUUGAGGAACUUUCCUUGAGGGGUUUCUGGUUGCAGAAUUGGCUGAGCACAGAUAAAACUGAAGAGGGCAGAAGAAUGAUAGACAGGCUUUUGGGUCUUGUACAAGAUGGAAAGUUAAAAUACAAGAUGGAAUUAACCCCCU